rnacentral:snRNA from 1 species
GUGCUUGCUUCGGCAGCACAUAUACUAAAAUUGGAACAAUAUAGAGAAGAUUAGCAUAGCCCCUGAGCAAGGAUGACACACAAAUUCAUGAAGGGUUCCAUAUUUUU